CGUGUGAAUAGUGGCGUGUUCUGGACCCGAAGCGGAGUGAUCUACCCAUGGCCAGGGUGAAGCGCGGGUAAGACCGCGUGGAGGCCCGAACCCACUUAGGUUGAAGACUGAGGGGAUGAGCUGUGGGUAGGGGUGAAAGGCCAAUCAAACUCCGUGAUAGCUGGUUCUCCCCGAAAUGCAUUUAGGUGCAGCGUUGCGUGGUUCACCGCGGAGGUAGAGCUACUGGAUGGCCGAUGGGCCCUACUAGGUUACUGACGUCAGCCAAACUCCGAAUGCCGUGGUGUAAAGCGUGGCAGUGAGACGGCGGGGGAUAAGCUCCGUACGUCGAAAGGGAAACAGCCCAGAUCGCCGGCUAAGGCCCCCAAGCGUGUGCUAAGUGGGAAAGGAUGUGCAGUCGCAAAGACAACCAGGAGGUUGGCUUAGAAGCAGCCACCCUUGAAAGAGUGCGUAAUAGCUCACUGGUCAAGUGAUUGUGCGCCGAUAAUGUAGCGGGGCUCAAGCACACCGCCGAAGCCGCGGCACAUCCACCUUGUGGUGGGUGUGGGUAGGGGAGCGUCCCUCAUUCAGCGAAGCCACCGGGUGACCGGUGGUGGAGGGUGGGGGAGUGAGAAUGCAGGCAUGAGUAGCGACAAGGCAAGUGAGAACCUUGCCCGCCGAAAGACCAAGGGUUCCUGGGCCAGGCCAGUCCGCCCAGGGUGAGUCGGGACCUAAGGCGAGGCCGACAGGCGUAGUCGAUGGACAACGGGUUGAUAUUCCCGUACCCGUGUGUGGGCGCCCGUGACGAAUCAGCGGUACUAACCACCCAAAACCGGAUCGAUCACUCCCCUUCGGGGGUGUGGAGUUCUGGGGCUGCGUGGGAACUUCGCUGGUAGUAGUCAAGCGAAGGGGUGACGCAGGAAGGUAGCCGUACCAGUCAGUGGUAACACUGGGGCAAGCCGGUAGGGAGAGCGAUAGGCAAAUCCGUCGCUCACUAAUCCUGAGAGGUGACGCAUAGCCGGUUGAGGCGAAUUCGGUGAUCCUCUGCUGCCAAGAAAAGCCUCUAGCGAGCACACACACGGCCCGUACCCCAAACCGACACAGGUGGUCAGGUAGAGCAUACCAAGGCGUACGAGAUAACUAUGGUUAAGGAACUCGGCAAAAUGCCCCCGUAACUUCGGGAGAAGGGGGACCGGAAUAUCGUGAACACCCUUGCGGUGGGAGCGGGAUCCGGUCGCAGAAACCAGUGAGGAGCGACUGUUUACUAAAAACACAGGUCCGUGCGAAGUCGCAAGACGAUGUAUACGGACUGACGCCUGCCCGGUGCUGGAAGGUUAAGAGGACCCGUUAACCCGCAAGGGUGAAGCGGAGAAUUUAAGCCCCAGUAAACGGCGGUGGUAACUAUAACCAUCCUAAGGUAGCGAAAUUCCUUGUCGGGUAAGUUCCGACCUGCACGAAUGGCGUAACGACUUCUCAACUGUCUCAACCAUAGACUCGGCGAAAUUGCACUACGAGUAAAGAUGCUCGUUACGCGCGGCAGGACGAAAAGACCCCGGGACCUUCACUACAACUUGGUAUUGAUGUUCGGUACGGUUUGUGUAGGAUAGGUGGGAGACUGUGAAACCUCGACGCCAGUUGGGGCGGAGUCGUUGUUGAAAUACCACUCUGAUCGUAUUGGGCAUCUAACCUCGAACCCUGAAUCGGGUUUAGGGACAGUGCCUGGCGGGUAGUUUAACUGGGGCGGUUGCCUCCUAAAAUGUAACGGAGGCGCCCAAAGGUUCCCUCAACCUGGACGGCAAUCAGGUGGCGAGUGUAAAUGCACAAGGGAGCUUGACUGCGAGACUUACAAGUCAAGCAGGGACGAAAGUCGGGAUUAGUGAUCCGGCACCCCCGAGUGGAAGGGGUGUCGCUCAACGGAUAAAAGGUACCCCGGGGAUAACAGGCUGAUCUUCCCCAAGAGUCCAUAUCGACGGGAUGGUUUGGCACCUCGAUGUCGGCUCGUCGCAUCCUGGGGCUGGAGCAGGUCCCAAGGGUUGGGCUGUUCGCCCAUUAAAGCGGCACGCGAGCUGGGUUUAGAACGUCGUGAGACAGUUCGGUCUCUAUCCGCCGCGCGCGUCAGAAACUUGAGGAAACCUGUCCCUAGUACGAGAGGACCGGGACGGACGAACCUCUGGUGCACCAGUUGUCCCGCCAGGGGCACCGCUGGAUAGCCACGUUCGGUCAGGAUAACCGCUGAAAGCAUCUAAGCGGGAAACCUUCUCCAAGAUCAGGUUUCUCACCCACUUGGUGGGAUAAGGCCCCCCGCAGAACACGGGUUCAAUAGGUCAGACCUGGAAGCUCAGUAAUGGGUGUAGGGAACUGGUGCUAACCGGCCGAAAACUUACAACA
rnacentral:rRNA from 1 species